UCGGAUGGGCACUCUAACGAGACAGCCGGUGAAAGCCGGAGGAGGUGGGAUGACGUCAAACAUCAUGCCCCUUAUGUCCUGGGCUACACACGUGCUACAAUGGCUGGUACAAAGGGCAGCGAACCCGCGAGGGGAGCCAAUCCCCAAAAGCCAGUCUCAGUUCGGAUCGCAGGCUGCAACUCGCCUGCGUGAAGCCGGAAUCGCUAGUAAUCGCGGAUCAGCAUGCCGCGGUGAAUACGUUCCCGGGCCUUGUACACACCGCCCGUCACACCACGAGAGUUUGCAACACCCGAAGUCGGUGAGGCAACCUUUUAGGAGCCAGCCGCCGAAGGUGGGGCAGAUGAUUGGGGUGAAGUCGUAACAAGGUAUCCCUACCGGAAGGUGGGGAUGGAUCACCUCCUUU
rnacentral:ncRNA from 1 species